UACGUAGGGGGCAAGCGUUGUCCGGAAUCAUUGGGCGUAAAGCGCGUGUAGGCGGUUUCGUAAGUCUGCUGUGAAAGUCGGAGGCUCAACCUUCGAAAGCCGGUGGAUACUGUGAGACUUGAGUACGGAAGAGGAGAGUGGAAUUCCUGGUGUAGCGGUGAAAUGCGCAGAUAUCAGGAGGAACACCGGUGGCGAAGGCGGUUCUCUGGGCAUGUCCUGACGCUGAGGAGCGAAAGUGUGGGGAGCGAACAGG
rnacentral:rRNA from 1 species